rnacentral:lncRNA from 1 species
GAUGUACCUCAGGUCAAAGAACUAGACACACAGCUGUAGCAUCGAGCUAGUCAUCGACGAGAAGGUAGACUUUUUUAUGACUACUCGAGGUGGUCACGCUCAGUACUCUCAUUCUCAAUGAACACCAAGAAAGUGAUCACGCUCGAGGUGGUCACGCUCAGUACUUUCACUCCAAUGUCUCCACACCGUAGACUCAAGAUACAUCUACCCUAAGAA